rnacentral:rRNA from 1 species
UGAGGAACAUGACCCUCGGCGGGGGAUAGCCGGCCCAACGGCCGGGUAAUACCGCGUACGACCACAUGGGGACAUCCCUGAGUGGUGAAAGCAGCAAUGCGCCGAUGGAGUGCCUCGCGGCCUAUCAGCUUGUUGGUGAGGUAAUGGCUCACCAAGGCGACGACGGGUAGCCGGCCUGAGAGGGUGACCCGGCCACACGUGGGACUGAGACACGGCCCAGACCUCCGUACGGGAGCAG